rnacentral:lncRNA from 1 species
AUAAGGGCAUUUGCUUUGUGUUUUUGUGCAUCUUAUUUUGAUACAAGGGCAAGAACUGAAGUUCUUUCGAUUGAAAUUUUCACUUAUGAGAUUUUUUUUCUUACUAUAAUUUUACCUUUGAAUUAAAAUAGGUGAUUUGUAGUUGCAAUUGUAUAAGAAUGUUCCACAAUAUGUAUGGAUGUUUCGAUGUUAGCAGAACCGAGAUUGAUCAGAGACACUACGGGCAUGGAUGCAAACAAAGUCUUUCCUAUUAGGUCCUAUGAGCAUGACAAGGAGAACAACAUUAGUGAAAACAUAGUUUGCAAGAGUGCAGGUUCUGUCAUGGAGUGGUCUUGCUGAUGUAUUUUUUUUUCUUCCCCGGUUCAGCGAUGGUGUUUG